rnacentral:rRNA from 1 species
GAUGAACGCUGGCGGCGUGCCUAAUACAUGCAAGUCGAGCGAACGGACGAGAAGCUUGCUUCUCUGAUGUUAGCGGCGGACGGGUGAGUAACACGUGGAUAACCUACCUAUAAGACUGGGAUAACUUCGGGAAACCGGAGCUAAUACCGGAUGAUAUUUUGAACCGCAUGGUUCAAAAGUGAAAGACGGUCUUGCUGUCACUUAUAGAUGGAUCCGCGCGGCAUUAGCUAGUUGGUAAGGUAACGGCUUACCAAGGCAACGAUGCAUAGCCGACCUGAGAGGGUGAUCGGCCACACUGGAACUGAGACACGGUCCAGACUCCUACGGGAGGCAGCAGUAGGGAAUCUUCCGCAAUGGGCGAAAGCCUGACGGAGCAACGCCGCGUGAGUGAUGAAGGUCUUCGGAUCGUAAAACUCUGCUAUUAGGGAAGAACAUAUGUGUAAGUAACUGUGCACAUCUUGACGGUACCUAAUCAGAAAGCCACGGCUAACUACGUG